AGCUUUGCGCAUGGGCAGUAUCGUAGCCAAUAGAGGUUUAUCUGAGGCGCGAUUAUUGCUAGUUGAAAACUUUUCCUAAAAUAU
rnacentral:snRNA from 1 species